rnacentral:rRNA from 1 species
GAUGAACGCUAGCGGCAGGCCUAAUACAUGCAAGUCGAACGGUGUCUUCGGACAUAGUGGCGCACGGGUGCGUAACACGUAUGCAACCUACCUUACAUUGGGGGAUAGCCUUUCGAAAGGGAGAUUAAUACCGCAUAAGACAGUAGCUGGGCAUCCAGCAGCUGUUAAAGAUUUAUCGAUGUAAGCUGGGCAUGCGUCCAAUUAGCUAGUUGGGGAGGUAACGGCUCACCAAGGCAAUGAUUGGUAGGGGAACUGAGAGGUCAAUCCCCCACACUGGCACUGAGAUACGGGCCAGACUCCUACGGGAGGCAGCAGAAGGGAAUAUUGGGCAAUGGACGCAAGUCUGACCCAGCCAUGCCGCGUGCAGGAUGAAGGCGUUAUGCGUUGUAAACUGCUUUUAUACAGGAAGAAACGACUCUUGCGAGAGGCAUUGACGGUACUGUAUGAAUAAGCACCGGCUAACUCCGUGCCAGCCGCCGCCGUAAAAC